rnacentral:tRNA from 1 species
AAGGGAGACCUAAUUCAGGUAUGGGACGAAAAAAAAGUAGUCGCUACCAAAAAUCAAUCCCAAAAGGUCGGAGCGAGGUAUGAGGCUUUCAAACUAGGUUCUGGGUUCAAACAAGACCUGAAUCAGGAACAAGGGCUAUUAGCUCAGGUGGUUAGAGCGCACCCCUGAUAAGGGUGAGGUCCCUGGUUCGAGUCCAGGAUGGCCCACCUGCACAGGUGGCAAAAACAAGAGAAGCGAGGAAUCAGCACCUUAUCUUAUCUAUAUAUAAGAGAGAAUGCUGGCUCUGAGUAAAGAGUCCAGAGGAACCUUGAAAACUGCAUAGAGCUAGGUGAAAAAGCCAUAAAAGAAGACCGCAA